CAGCACCUCAAGUGGUCAGGAUGAUUAUUGGGCCUAAAGCAUCCGUAGCCGGCGCUGUAAGUUUUCGGUUAAAUCUGUACGCUCAACGUACAGGCUGCCGGGAAUACUGCAGCGCUAGGGAGUGGGAGAGGUAGACGGUACUCGGUAGGAAGGGGUAAAAUCCUUUGAUCUAUUGAUGACCACCUGUGGCGAAGGCGGUCUACCCGAACACGUCCGACGGUGAGGGAUGAAAGCUGGGGGAGCAAACCGGAUUAGAUACCCGAGUAGUCC
rnacentral:rRNA from 1 species